rnacentral:rRNA from 1 species
UGGGGAAUAUUGCACAAUGGGCGCAAGCCUGAUGCAGCCAUGCCGCGUGUGUGAAGAAGGCCUCGGGUUGUAAAGCACUUUCAGCGAGGAGGAAGGUGGUGAGCUUAAUACGCUCAUCAAUUGACGUUACUCGCAGAAGAAGCACCGGCUAACUCCGUGCCAGCAGCCGCGGUAAUACGGAGGGUGCAAGCGUUAAUCGGAAUUACUGGGCGUAAAGCGCACGCAGGCGGUUUGUUAAGUCAGAUGUGAAAUCCCCGGGCUCAACCUGGGAACUGCAUUUGAAACUGGCAAGCUAGAGUCUCGUAGAGGGGGGUAGAAUUCCAGGUGUAGCGGUGAAAUGCGUAGAGAUCUGGAGGAAUACCGGUGGCGAAGGCGGCCCCCUGGACGAAGACUGACGCUCAGGUGCGAAAGCGUGGGGCAGCAAACAGGAUUAGAUACCCUGGUAGUCCACGCUGUAAACGAUGUCGAUUUUGGAGGUUGUGCCCUUGAGGCGUGGCUUCCGGAGCUAACGCGUUAAAUCGACCGCCUGGGGAGUACGGCCGCAAGGUUAAAACUCAAAGGAAUUG